UUCCGGUUGAUCCUGCCGGAGGUCACUGCUAUUGGGAUUCGGCUAAGCCAUGCAAGCGGAGGGCGCGGUCGAAAGAUCGUGGCCCCGCACACUGCUCAGUAACACGUAGUCAAUCUACCCUUGGGACGGGGACAACCUCGGGAAACUGAGGCUAAUCCCCGAUAGGUGAGGGACGCUGGAAUGCCUCCUCGCCCAAAGCUCCGGCGCCCAAGGAUGGGACUGCGGUCUAUCAGGCUGUUGGUGGUGUAACGGACCACCAAACCUACGACGGGUACGGGCGAUGGGAGUCGGAGCCCGGAGAUGGGGACUGAGACAAGGCCCCAGGCCCUACGGGGCGCAGCAGGCGCGAAAACUCCGCAAUGCGCGCAAGCGUGACGGGGGAAUCCCAAGUGCCGUUGGUCUUAUGAUCGACGGUUUUUAGGAAGUCUAAGAAGCUUCCAGAAUAAGGGCUGGGCAAGACUGGUGCCAGCCGCCGCGGUAACACCAGCAGCCCAAGUGGUGACCACGAUUAUUGGGCCUAAAGCGCUCGUAGCCGGAUCAGCAAGUCCCUUGUGAAAUCGGGCCGCCUAACGGUUCGGCGUGCAAGGGAUACUGUUGGUCUUGAGGCCGGGAGAGGUCGGAGGUACUCCUGGGGUAGCGGUGAAAUGCUCUAAUCCUAGGGGGACCACCAGUGGCGAAGGCGUCCGACCAGAACGGACCUGACGGUGAGGGGCGAAGGCUAGGGGAGCGAACGGGAUUAGAUACCCCGGUAGUCCUAGCUGUAAAGCAUGCGGGCCAGGUGUCUAGCGCUCCUUGAGGGCGCUAGGUGCCGGAGGGAAGCCGUUAAGCCCGCCGCCUGGGAAGUACGGCCGCAAGGCUGAAACUUAAAGAAAUUGGCGGGGGAGCACCACAAGAGUGGGACCUGCGGUUCAAUUGGAAUCAACGCCGGU
rnacentral:rRNA from 1 species